AGACAAAACAACAGCUGUGUAAGCAGAGGCCGCAUAUGCAUACAGCGUGUUUGAAAAAAGAUCUAGAGGUCUUUUAUGGAGAGGGUCAAAACAGCCCCUACAUGAAUUCAUAAGAAUUUGGACGCAUUAUGUGUGUUACAGGAUGGCGGGGAGGCGGAACCCAAUUGCAGAAACAAAAGCCGAAGGAGAUUUAUUGAGGCAAUGGAGCGUGUCUUUGUGACGUUACUAAUGAGGUGACCUGGAGCCAGGUUCGCACCGCCACUGUACCGAUCAGCAGUCUGGAGUUACCGCUGCGCCACUGGGACGCACAGGCAUCAACGGAUAAAGCACCUCAAGGAAGGGAAAAGAGAAAAAGGCCGGAACGUCAAAACAAAAGCUGAACAAUAAGUGAAAUAAAUAGAAGAUGAGAUAACAAAAAUGACUUCCGCCAAGAUAUCGAGGAGAAGUCAGACUCACUUGCUUGCUCUUCCUGGAGCAAACACAUCUUACAGGGCUUGGAGCAGUUUGUAACUCAAGCCUUCUUGUGGGUUUUAAGUGGUUUUGGGACAAUUUCUCUUUGUGGUCCUCUUUCAUUUCUUUCUUUUAGUUUUGGGGCAAUUUCUUGAACACCUGUUUGUCUUUUGUUUUCUUAAACACGAGUAAGUUCCAUACCGGUCAACCCUCUACAAAGGUGUGACAAACGCUGCCGUUUGAAUCAGCCUUAAGUAGGGAAGCCCACAGGUGUGUCAAGUUGAGCCUAAUUAGUCUGUGGCUCCUUGCUGCUGUCACCCUCUGCUGGCAGCAGGUGGUGCAGGCUGGACACCUUGCCGCCUCCGUCGCCCUCUGCUGGCAGCAGGCGGUGCAGGCUGGACACCUUGCUGCCGUCGCCCUCUGCUGGCAGCGACGGGGGCCGGCUUGACCCCUACACUUAGUUCUUUUUUUGUUUGGUUUUAAGAUGGUAGAAUAUUAUUGUGUAAUGUAAAAUAACAUUUAACUGUAUUUUUGCAGUGUAUGAGAUGCGUUUGUACUAGUUGUGUUUUGUACCUGUUUCAUUUUUGUGUUGUUUCGGUACUAUAAAACAUAAAAACAUGGUGUAUUGUCUUCAAAUGAAACAGGGAAUAGUUGCAGCAUUUGUUUCUACCAAUGUGUAUGUAAAAUAAUUAUGUCCACUUUUGUACUGGUUGUACACAAAGUAUUAAUAUCAUUGUUAUUUUCUAUUUGUACUCUUUUUAUCAGUAUUACAGAUGAUACAGGUAAUAGAUUUGGCGAGUUAACCACAAUGGUAUUUUUAAAGUUGUUAAACUGUUAUGCUAUUGAGAUUGUACUGAUAUGCCAAAGACGUAACUGAUGAAUAAGAAAACGGUGAAAUUUGUGCGCACUCAUUUUCUGAUCCGAUAUGAAUGUAAGCAAUUUUGCUGAAUAAGGGUCGUCACUAAUAUUUAUCUGAUCUUGUUUUCAUCCAAAUAAACCUGGCUAGUCUUUAA